ACUGCAGCAAACUAUUUGAAAAAACAAACGGCGCGAAGAGACGAGACGAGCAGAGCGGAGAAGAGAAAAGAAAGGAAAGAAAAAAGAUGAAAAGAAGUUACCCUAGCGGUGCUGAAAAGAGGAGAAAAAAAGAAUGAAAGUAGGAAGCUGCUUUCAAAGUUACCAAAAAUGACUGAGUUCGGCUUCUUCACUGCGGCAGCGGCGAGCAGCAGCAGCAGUAACCUGCCGCAAACAGCUGAAAACUCAGCGGCAAGUCUGGCACCUGUUAAGGAGGAUCCAUCGUGUGGAGUUGAACAACUAAUGGCCCCGUGCCUGCCUUUGCCUAGACUACUACAGAAAGGGACAAAAGAACACAGAAGAAAACCACAACAAAAAGGAUAAGAAGAGAGGGACAAAAGAGGGCCCCAUGCCUGUCUUUGCCUAGGGCCCCAAAUUUCCUAAGUCCGCC